rnacentral:rRNA from 1 species
GACGAACGCUGGCGGCGUGCUUAACACAUGCAAGUCGAGCGGUAAGGCCCUUCGGGUUACACGAGCGGCGAACGGGUGAGUAACACGUGAGUAAUCUGCCCAUCACUUCGGGAUAACUCCGGGAAACCGGUGCUAAUACCGAAUAUGACCACUUCAGGCAUCUGAUGGUGGUGGAAAGUUCCGGCGGUGAUGGAUGAGCUCGCGGCCUAUCAGCUUGUUGGUGGGGUAGUGGCCUACCAAGGCUUCGACGGGUAGCCGGCCUGAGAGGGUGACCGGCCACACUGGGACUGAGACACGGACCAGACUCCUACGGGAGGCAGCAGUGGGGAAUAUUGGACAAUGGGCGAAAGCCUGAUACAGAAACGCCGCGUGAGGGAUGACGGCCUUCGGGUUGUAAACCUCUUUCAGCAGGGACGAAGCGCAAGUGACGGUACCUGCAGAAGAAGCACCGGCCAACUACGUG